GUUAAUAAGACAGAAAUAAUGUCCUGCAUUGAUAAGUAGGUCGCAUGCAUUUUGUGUCCCUGUAUACUUCGUGCUAACUGCGCUGCACACAUAACGCGAUGCGAUGCUAUCCAUGUUUGAAAGAUUACCAGGCCGCAAGUAAACACAAACAUACGUUUGGUAUUGUCCUAUCGCAUAGCGUUGCGUCGUGCUGCUUCGUAGUAUUUAUAGCUAAGCUUUGGUGAGUUAGUGAUAUCGUGAGUGGAUUCGCAUUCACCCAUGUUGUGCUUGAAACGGCAACUGGAUGAAUAUGACAUGAUGUACGUGCUGUUACAGUGAUAUAUCAAUCCAUCAUAAUAGAAAGUAAGUCCAACUAUGGCGUUUUUGUUCAUCAAUGAUCGUCGCGUGGUUCUUUUUGUGGAUUCUUUAGAAAAUAUUUAUCCCCUAUGUAGAUAAAUAAUCAUACCAAGAAUGUAAUAAUAGUUAGAGCAGUUUGCCUCCAUGUAUGUAGGUACCACAAUCAGUUUUCUGCGUCAUAUAGAUUCACAGGGAAUUAAAACAAUGUUUGCUAAAACUGCAGACUUAUAAACGGGCAUAAGGAAUAAUCGGGUCAUUCGCGUAGUGCCAUUCAAAAGUGCGACACAAUGAAGUCAUCAAUUCGCUUGGUUGUAGGUUUGUGCUUACUUUUAUUCGGAGUUAUUGCAUACGUUUACUUAAAUACUAUGCAAACGCCAGUAAAACCGAAUUUGUUGAUAGUGUCUUUGGAAAGAGUCAAGCCGAGAAUUCACAAUCACCAUCAAAAAUCAACAGAAUCAAACAAAAUGAUAGAAGAUAGAGCUGGAUUCAUAGUUGGAAAAUGUCCUAAUAAUCAGAAAAAAGUAUCUGGAUUUUGUAUAGAAAAUAAUGAUGAUAGUUCUAUGUAUUCCGUGGAUGAUAACGUAGAUAAGUGAUCUUUAAUUCACGUUUGUCUAUGUCUAGUAGGAUUGACAAGCCACCUACGUAUUCUUGAAAUGUGAAAAAAAUAUAAUGCUUAAUUACAAAGUGAAACAGUAGAGACAAAUAUAUCUAAAACGGCGAAUGUGUUUUCAAUUGGAUAUCAUCAGAUCAUGCUCUAGACGUUAUAGAAAUAUAAGAGUGAAUUCAUAGGUAA